ACACGACUACAUUAGAUACCCCGGUAGUCCUAGCCGUAAACGAUACUCGCUAGGUGUCGGCCACGGUGCGACCGUUGUCGGUGCCGUAGGGAAGCCGUGAAGCGAGCCACCUGGGAAGUACGGCCGCAAGGCUGAAACUUAAAGGAAUUGGCGGGGGAGCACCGCAACGGGAGGAGCGUGCGGUUCAAUUGGAUUCAACGCCGAAAAACUCACCAGGAGCGACGGAUAUAUGAAGGUCAAGCUGAUGACUUUACCUGAUUUUCCG
rnacentral:rRNA from 1 species